CCACCAUCCAGAGCGGACGAGAGACCUGGCUCGUUGACUCCGCAGCAACCACCCGUUUCGGGCAGGUGCUUCCGCCGGGACCGAUGGAAA
rnacentral:ncRNA from 1 species